rfam:Papio anubis isolate 1X1155 chromosome 9, whole genome shotgun sequence.
UGGGAGCAUCACUUGGGCCCAGGAGUUUGAGACCAGCCUGGGCAACAAAGUGAGACCUUGU